ensembl:lncRNA
UGACAAGGAGAGGUGCCAUGCUUGACCUCGUGCUUACCAACAGGGAAGGGCUGGUUGGAAAUAUGAUGCUCCAGGACAUCCAUGGUUGCAGUGAUCAUGAGAUGGUUGAAUUUGAGAUCCUCAGGACAGUGAGAAGAGCAUGCAGCAAGCUCACUGCCCUGGACUUCAAGAGAGCAGACUUUGGCCUCUUCAGGAAGCUGCUUAGUAAGGUUCCAUGUGAUAUAGCCCUAAAGGGCAGGGGGGCCCAAGACUGUUGGUUGAUAUACAAGGAUCACCUACUACAAGCUCAGGAGUGUUGCAUCCCAACUAGAAGGAAGUGCAGCAGGAGGGCCAGGAGAUCUCCUUGGAUGGAUAAGUUGCUGCUGAGGAAAAUUCGAAGGAAAAAAGAGGCUUAUAAAAGGUGGAAGCAAGGUCAGGCGGCCUGGAAAGAAUACAGCGAUAUUGUCCAGGAAGCUAGGGACCAGGAUAGGAAAGCUAAGGCCCAGUUAGAAUUGAACUUGGCUAGGGAUGUUAAGGAUAUCAGGAAGGGAUUCUAUAGGUACGUAACGAAUAAAAAACAGACUAGGGACACCGUGGGCCCCCUCCAGAAGCUAUCAGGAGAACUGACUACCCUGGAUAUAGAGAAGGCUGAGGUUCUUAAUGUCUUCACCAGAAAACGCUCUGACCACACCACCCAAGUCUUGGAAGGCAGACGCAGGGACAGUGAGAAUGAAGACCUUGGGCCCACUGUACGAGAGGAUCUGGUUCGAGGCCAUCAUAAGAACCUGAACAUACACAAGUUCAUGGGACCGGAUGAAAUCCAUCCACAGGUCCUGAAGGAGCUGGCAAAAGAAGUUGCUAAGACACUGUCCAUCAUAUUUGAAAAAUCAUGGCAGUCAGAUGAAGUUCGCGACGACUGGAAAAAGGGAAAUAUAACCUCCGUUUUUAAAAAGGGGAAAAUGGAUGACCCGGAGAAUUACAGACCAGUUAGUCUCACCUCUGUGCCUGGCAAAAUCUUGGAGCAGAUUCUCCUGGAAGGCAUGCUGAGGCACAUGAAAACCAACAAGGUGCUUGGUGACAGCCAGCAUGGCUUCACUAAGGGGAAAUCCUGCCUGACCAACAUGGUGGCCUUCUAUGAUGGGGCUAUGGAACUGAUGGACAGGGGUAGAGCAGCUGAUGUCAUCUACCUGGACUUAUGCAAAGCAUUCAACACUGUCCCACACGACAUCCUUGUCUCUAAGUUGAAGAGACAUCAAUUUGAUAGGGAGACCACUCGGUGGAUAAAGAAGUGGCACAGAAAGAGUUGUGGUCAAUGGCUCAAUGUCCAGCUGGAGACAAGUAUCAUGUGGUGUCCCUCAGGGAUCGGUGUUGGGAUCGGUCUUGUUCAACAUGUUUGUCAGUGACAUGGACAGUGGGAUUGAGUGUGCCCUCAGCAAGUUUGCCGAUCACACCAAGCUGUGUGGUUCGGUUGAUGCGUUGGAGGGAAAGAAUGCCAUCCAGAGGGACCUUGACAUGCUUGUGAGGUGGCUGAUGCCAACCUGACAAAGUUUAACCAUGCCAAGUGCAAGGUCCUCCACCUGGGUCGGAGCAAUCCGAGGCACAGCUGCAGGUUGGGCAGAGAAGAGAUUCAGAGCAGCCCUGCAGAGAAGGACUUGGGGGUGUUGGUCAAUUAGAAACUGAACAUGAGCCAGCAGUGUGCGCUUGCAACCCAGAAAGCCAACCGUAUCCUGGGCUGCAUCAAAAGGAGCGUGACCAGCAGGUCGAGGGAGGUGAUCCUGCCCCUCUACUCUGCUCUUGUGAGACCUCACUUGGAGUAUUGUGUGCAGUUCUAAUGUCCUCAACAUAAAAAGGACGUGGAACUGUUGGAACAAGUGCAGAGGAGGGCCACGAGGAUGAUCAGGGGACUGGAGCACCUCCUGUACGAAGACAGGCUGAGAUAGUUGGGGCUGUUCAGCCUGGAGAAGAGAAGGC